rnacentral:lncRNA from 11 species
GGUCUUUCUAGUUUCUGGUGAGGAAAAAGGUUUCCUGACAAAAGCCCAAAGCCAAGAGCUGGAAGGCUGCCUUAGAGACAGAUUGAGGAGGCAUCGGAAGCAUCUUUCUCUGUGCGCAAAGGGAGCGCAAACAAUGGGAAGGCUCUGGCUGGUGUUUCUGGCUAGUUACCUUCUCCUGGUGGCUGCCAUUUCUGGGGCGGAAACCCCAGGGCCACCGUCUGCAGAAGCAACCCCGGCUUCGAUCUCGGCUCCUGCAUUGGAGGGGACGGCAUCCCAAAACAUUGCUGACGCCAACGUACCUGUGUUGGUGCCAAGAUCAAAGGUCUACAAGCCCUGGAGGGACAGGCGGAAACCAAAGAGGCCAGUGUAUAGGAUUGGAGCCUACACCUUUCUGCGCAAGGACAAGAACACCCCCAUAUUCGUCAUCCCAAUCCGGCUGUCUUCCUGAGACCAUUGAUUCAUCGGACACCUUUCCUGCCGAUCGUCUUGCUUCUGAUCCUUUCCUUUGUAGGAACGUUUUUCUUGAUGCCAGGUGUAACGAAGUGUGAUUUUUUUUAGUUUACAGAUGUCAUGUUUAGUUGCGUUUUAAAAGUCAGUUUAAAAUAAGUUUGGUGACUUAUUUUAAGUUAGCCUGUUUCCAGAUAAGGAACAGAUAGUCUGUGAUUGAAAUUCACAGGGUGACUGCAGGUUAAAGCAGUAAAGGAGGAAGUAGUAUUUUAAAGUUUGAAACAUCUCAAUAUAGCUUUGCAACUGUUAAUCUAAGUGCCUCUAAAGAAGUUACUGUAACCUUUAAGCUUGUGCCUGAAUAAACGUGUUAUUGUUCUUUUUAACAUCUCAGUCUCUGAAAUCUAUAUUACCAUCAAAAGCAAACAAGAAAGAAGAAAAAUAAAAUUUUAAAAGUCUCCUCUCUAAGUAGCCAGUGGCUAUAUCAUCCCAUAGUGGUGGCAAGAGUUGAUAAUCCCCUUAAC